GACGUAGGAGGCGAGCGUUGUCCGGAUUCAUUGGGCGUAAAGAGCACGCAGGCGGUUUGGCAAGUCGGAUGUGAAAACCCGAAGCUCAACUUCGGGCCCGCAUCCGAAACUGCCCGACUAGAGGUAGGUAGGGGAGAUCGGAAUUCCUGGUGUAGCGGUGAAAUGCGCAGAUAUCAGGAGGAACACCGGUGGCGAAGGCGGAUCUCUGGGCCUUACCUGACGCUCAGGUGCGAAAGCUAGGGGAGCGAACAGG
rnacentral:rRNA from 1 species